GGAUAAGAUUGAUGACUUAUGA
rnacentral:siRNA from 1 species